UAUAUAAACUAUUAUUAUUUACAAUUAAUUUCAUACAUAUAUACAGGACAAUUUAAAACUAUUGUAUAAAACUAAGAUGAGAUUAAGGAUGUCAUUAAGACAAGUGAAAAUAUUCUAGUGAAUUAGCAAAUAUUUGAGAAGUUUCUGUUGUUUACAAAAAUGGACAAAAUCCUAGUAGUUCAGUUGCAUCUGAAGAAUUCCUUGAAAAUUCACUCUAUAUAUACCGUGAGUUUUUCUUGAAACCGAACACUCAGAUUUUUGGCAUCGAGCCAAUUCUGAUGGAUCUAUCAUGUCAGGAAUCACUUGCUACGAAAAUUUAUUUUAUAUUUUUAAUUCCAAUGGCCAUGCAUUUGAACAUAUUGGCUGUUUUGAACAGAUUCAAAUCAGUGAAUGUUUUCAGAGGUUAUGCCAGUGCGAAGAGUCAGACGACCCUGGAAGACCGGGCGAUGGCCAUAAGCGGCCAAGGAAGCAGUUUCGGACCAGCGGUCAAGAG
rnacentral:lncRNA from 1 species